rnacentral:rRNA from 1 species
UACGGAGGAUCCAAGCGUUAUCCGGAUUCAUUGGGUUUAAAGGGUGCGUAGGUGGAAUAGUAAGUCAGUGGUGAAAGCCUGUUGCUUAACAACAGAACUGCCAUUGAUACUGCUAAUCUUGAGUACAUCUGAAGUGGGCGGAAUGUGUCAUGUAGCGGUGAAAAUGCUUAGAUAUGACACAGAACACCGAUUGCGAAGGCAGCUCACUAAACUGUAAACUGACACU